CUACGGGAUGCAGCCGUGAGGAAUAUUGCACAAUGGGGGGAACCCUGAUGCAGCAACGCCGCGUGGAGGAUGACGCACUUCGGUGUGUAAACUCCUUUUAUAUGUCAAGAAAAUGACGGUAGCAUAUGAAUAAGCACCGGCUAGACUCCGUGCCAGCAGCCGCGGUAAUACGGAGGGUGCAAGCGUUACUCGGAAUCACUGGGCGUAAAGGACGCGUAGGCGGGUUGGAAAGUCAGGUGUGAAAUCCUACAGCUUAACUGUAGAACUGCACUUGAAACUUGUAAUCUAGAGUAUGGGAGGGGGAGAUGGAAUUAGUGGUGUAGGGGUAAAAUCCGUAGAUAUCACUAGGAAUACCUAAAGCGAAGGCGAUCUCCUGGAACAUUACUGACGCUAAGGCGUGAAAGCGUGGGGAGCAAACAGGAUUAGAUACCCCCGUAGUC
rnacentral:rRNA from 1 species